UGUAACAAUAGAUACCCAUUUGUCUGCUACAGCGUCCCUGUAAUGAAACGGGCAGUGAAGCUGAGGAUGAAGCUGGAGGACUCCUCUGUGGAUCUGAACGACCCUGCUGUGAAAGCAGACCUGCUGAAAAAGCUCCAGGACAAGCUGCAGCAGAAAGGAGAGGGUGGAGUCAUCCUGAAGUACCUGCUAAUUCACACUAAGAUCAGUGUCUGAAGAGCUAAACCAGAACCCUGAAUCCAUCCUGUAGACCUGUAGUCAUAGGAGGGUUUGUCCCUCAUCAGCAA